UCUAACGUGGCAGAUAAGUGCGGUGGAUUUAAGCUCCACAAAUAAAGUAUUAAAACUUUCUUUAGAA
rnacentral:tRNA from 1 species